AGGAAUCUGCCCUAGAGAGGGGGGUAACUUGAGGAAACUCAAGCUAAUACCGCAUAAUCUCUGAGGAGAAAAGCUGGGGCAACCUGGCGCUCUAGGAGGAGCCUACGUCUGAUUAGCUAGUUGGUGGGGUAAAGGCUCACCAAGGCGACGAUCAGUAGCUGGUCUGAGAGGAUGAUCAGCCACACUGGGACUGAGACACGGCCCAGACUCCUACGGGAGGCAGCAGUGGGGAAUAUUGGACAAUGGGGGCAACCCUGAUCCAGCAAUGCCGCGUGUGUGAAGAAGGCCUUAGGGUUGUAAAGCACUUUAGGUAGGGAAGAAGGUAUGUAUUUUAAGAGAUAACAUAUUUGACGGUACCUACAGAAUAAGCACCGGCUAACUCUGUGCCAGCAGCCGCGGUAAUACAGAGGGUGCGAGCGUUAAUCGGAAUUACUGGGCGUAAAGGGCGCGUAGGUGGUUACGUAAGUGAGAUGUGAAAUCCCCGGGCUCAACCUGAGAACUGCGUCUUAUACUGCGUAGCUUGAGUACAUGAGAGGGUAGUGGAAUUUCCGGU
rnacentral:rRNA from 1 species